GCGCGGCGUCAGUCUUGGCUGGCAGACCUGUACUCCGUACUCCGUACUUCGUAGUCGCAGCGGCGCGGUCUUCGGCAGUCUAGUCAUCCACCGCCAUCCUGGGCCCCACGUGUUGCCUGACCAUUCCUGAGCCCAGAGGUGGGAGCCGUGGCUGAGGUGACGGUCUCAAAGUGGAAGAGCUUACUGUCACAGCAACUCCUUUGCAAGAUGCCCCGGUAAAUCACGUUGCAGAGACCCCAACUCUGCCUUCCUGGAACUAGGCCUGCGUUUUCUCUGAACCAUUAUUUCAUGGGGAAAAUGAAAUCUACUUCAUGUGCCUGGUCUACUUACUCCUUCAGAAGUGAUUUCUGAGCCAGGCCAGGAAUAGUUGCUGAACACCCCAGGCCUGCUGAGGUCCCUCCUUGAGUCUCAUGUUCAAGCAGUCUUAGUGUCCAUGAAACUGGGAGGCGACCGUGUUAGCUGCCAGUUCCUGACAGCCACCUCUCACCAGUGGCUUCACUCUGUGUCCCUGACCCAGCACAUGGCACAAGAGUGCCUGCCAUCCGUCAGUGUUUCUACAGCAGCAAUCCCAAGAUGCUGGAGCUAGAGGGGACCUGACCUGAGAGAAGAUACCUUCAGUGGCUGCCAGGCUGUUCCUUGGAACCUGUGCAGGGAGAUGAGGCCUGCCUGUGUUAAUACACCUAGUGAGGAGUGGAGCUGAAUUUGAAUGCAAGCCUUGGCACCUUAAUUGAGCAAGUUUGAAACCUCGCUUGUUGCCCUUCUGGAAGGAGUCAGGAAUUUCCAGUUCUGGGCCUGGGCUGUGGGUCUGGCAGACAGACCUCUGGCCCUAGGUUUGGGUGCCAGGUUCUCUGCUUCCAGAAUGAGAAGCUUUGCUGUGCACCAGGACCUGGGCCCUUCUGGUAUCUCCUGAAUGAAAAACAAGGGAUAUUUAAUAAAUAUGGAUUUAAAUA
rnacentral:lncRNA from 10 species